UACGGAGGGUGCAAGCGUUAAUCGGAAUUACUGGGCGUAAAGCGCACGCAGGCGGUCUGUCAAGUCAGAUGUGAAAUCCCCGGGCUUAACCUGGGAACUGCAUUUGAAACUGGCAGGCCUGAGUCUCGUAGAGGGGGGUAGAAUUCCAGGUGUAGCGGUGAAAUGCGUAGAGAUCUGGAGGAAUACCGGUGGCGAAGGCGGCCCCCUGGACGAAGACUGACGCUCAGGUGCGAAAGCGUGGGGAGCAAACAGG
rnacentral:rRNA from 1 species